AGAGUUUGAUCAUGGCUCAGGACGAACGCUGGCGGCGUGCCUAAUACAUGCAAGUCGAACGGUCUUUUCUAUGGAAGCUUGCUUCCGCUGAGAAGAUAGUGGCGGACGGGUGAGUAACACGUGGGUAACCUGCCCAUAAGAGGGGGAUAACAUCCGGAAACGGGUGCUAAUACCGCAUAGUUUUCUUGAUCGCAUGAUUGAGAAAGGAAAGACGGCCUUUGUGCUGUCGCUUAUGGAUGGACCCGCGGCGUAUUAGUUAGUUGGUGAGGUAAUGGCUCACCAAGACGAUGAUACGUAGCCGACCUGAGAGGGUGAUCGGCCACAUUGGGACUGAGACACGGCCCAAACUCCUACGGGAGGCAGCAGUAGGGAAUCUUCCGCAAUGGACGAAAGUCUGACGGAGCAACGCCGCGUGAGUGAAGAAGGUUUUCGGAUCGUAAAACUCUGUUGUCAGAGAAGAACAAGUUGGAGAGUAACUGCUCCAGCCUUGACGGUAUCUGACCAGAAAGCCACGGCUAACUACGUGCCAGCAGCCGCGGUAAUACGUAGGUGGCAAGCGUUGUCCGGAUUUAUUGGGCGUAAAGCGAGCGCAGGCGGUUCCUUAAGUCUGAUGUGAAAGCCCACGGCUCAACCGUGGAAGGUCAUUGGAAACUGGGGAACUUGAGUGCAGAAGAGGAGAGUGGAAUUCCAUGUGUAGCGGUGAAAUGCGUAGAUAUAUGGAGGAACACCAGUGGCGAAGGCGACUCUCUGGUCUGUAACUGACGCUGAGGCUCGAAAGCGUGGGGAGCAAACAGGAUUAGAUACCCUGGUAGUCCACGCCGUAAACGAUGAGUGCUAAGUGUUGGAGGGUUUCCACCCUUCAGUGCUGCAGCUAACGCAUUAAGCACUCCGCC
rnacentral:rRNA from 1 species